AGCAGCCGCGGUAAUUCCAGCUCCAAUAGCGUAUAUUAAAGUUGUUGCAGUUAAAAAGCUCGUAGUUGAAUUUCGAGACCGGUUUACUGGUCGUGCUUUUGUACGUACUGGUAUUAUUGGUUUCUCCCUUCUGACGAACCACGAUGUCAUUAAUUUGGUGUCGUGGGAAAUCAGGACUGUUACUUUGAAAAAAU
rnacentral:rRNA from 1 species